rnacentral:tRNA from 1 species
UGGCAAGAGGAUUGACUCAUAAGCAACAGGUUGUGGGUUCGAGCCCUGCUGCU